CUCGUAGGCGGUUCGUCGCGUCCGGUGUGAAAGUCCAUCGCCUAACGGUGGAUCUGCGCCGGGUACGGGCGGGCUGGAGUGCGGUAGGGGAGACUGGAAUUCCCGGUGUAACGGUGGAAUGUGUAGAUAUCGGGAAGAACACCAAUGGCGAGGGCAGGUCUCUGGGCCGUUACUGACGCUGAGGAGCGAAAGCGUGGGGAGCGAACA
rnacentral:rRNA from 1 species